UACGUAGGGGGCAAGCGUUGUCCGGAUUUAUUGGGCGUAAAGAGCGUGUAGGCGGCCAGGUAGGUCUGCUGUGAAAACUCGAGGCUUAACCUCGAGCUGUCGGCGGAAACCAUCUGGCUAGAGUCCGGAAGAGGAGAAUGGAAUUCCCGGUGUAGCAGUGAAAUGGCGUAGGAUAUCGAGAGGAACACCAGUGGCGAAGGCGAGUCCCUGGACAACUCCUGACGCUGAGGCACGAAAGCUAGGGGAGCAAACAGG
rnacentral:rRNA from 1 species